ACCGAGCGCCGCGAGAUGGCAGCGCCGGCCGCUGCCGCCCCGCCCGCCCGCAAGUGCCUAUCCCCGGUCUGCCGGGAGCCGCCAACCUUUAACCAUUCUGUGAUUCUGUGAGCACAAUCAGCUGCCCUGCCCUCCCCUGCCCUGCCCUUCCCCUCCCGCGGCUCCCGGGGGGAAGGCGGUGAGAGGGCGAGAAGGGCUGGGGAGGCGGGGAAGGAGAGAAAAUGGCCGCCGCUGGUGGGGAGGGAGGGCGGCCCCCCAGCGCACCUGAGGGAGAGGGGCCGCGCGGGGAGGAGCGUGUGGGGCAAAAGACCAGCGGGCGGGAAGUAUAAAGCUGCAGAUCAAGGUUUCCAUCAAUACAGAAAAGGAUGGUGUAGAGAGCCCAGCAUAUCAUGAUUCAGUGCAACAGAGAGACAGGGUCAGUUAUUAAACCAUCGUCAGCCUGCAGGGUUUUCAGCAUUUGGACAGUUUCUCACUUCUUCUCCUGCCCAGAACACAGCUAGUCAAGCAAAGGCUGUAACUCUCAGCAAACCUUCCCAAGUAUAUAAAAGGAUUAGCAGAGGGACCUUCCUGGUUCUGCCAUUUCUUAAAAACCCAGUUCACAGAUGAGAAGUUUCAAGUACAGCUUGGCAAAUCCAGAGGAUGCUGGGGGAAGCAGCUGAUACAAUUCACAUGUUCACUCAUCUACUGCAUAUGGAAUAUAAGGAAGAGGAGUCCAACAAAAGGUAGUUUCUAAAGAGCACACCAAAAAUCACACACCACCCUUGUUUCCAGCUGGGGAAUUGGGGCUUGCUAUUUCCACCUGGAAAACUUCCUCCAUUUGAUGUUUGAUGAUGAUGAUAACAAACUGUUACAUGAGUUUGGGAUCUGCUGCAUCCACCAUGAUUUUAACCUCUCAUCUAUCAUUUUUGUGUAGCCUGUCUAAUGAUACUGAUUUUGGUGCAUUACACUUACGUUUUGCAGUGCUGAUGAUACUUUGGUCCAGUUUCACCUGAAAUCAAAAAGAUUGUACUGCUACAGUCUGUCCCUGGGAAACAACUAAGACAAGAAAUGCAUUUUCAGUUGCAUUAGGGCUUGUGCUGGACCCCAGAGCCCAGAAUGACUCUUAGGAUUAGGACUAAAAAUCAGGAAACUCAGUAAAUACAAGUGAAUUCAAUUGAAGUGCAGGGUUUCAGGUGGGUUUGCUGAGCUCUAAGUACAAUUAGAAGAUGGGUAAAGAGAAGUUCACUGUGCUGUAAACAAAAAAAGAUUUCUUUUUUCCUGAAGACUGAAUUCACUUCUUCAUAAUCUGCAUUUUUCAGCAAGUGAAUCUGAUUUUUUUUUUAAUGUUCUCGUAAAGCCAGGAAAAUGUAUUAGAAAUUACUAACAUUUAUCAUGUUUCUUGGCAGAAUAGUUAGAUACUUUGGUUAAAAAAAAAAACCCACACUGAUGGUCUCUCUUGAAUAAAUACUUGAAAUAAAUACUUGAAAAGUAAAUAACGGGGGCUGUUGAAUGGAUUAAAAAUAAAAACAGAACAAAAGAUAAACAGAACGUUAUUUCUGCAAGAAACCGGUGUCCAGAUUUAGCCCAUGCAAUUUUUUGUCAGAAGAGAGAGGCUAAAAUUAUUUCCAGCUAAACCAAGGCUCCCAUGUCCUUGUCAUUUAGGAACUCUUUCAGUGACAUGCAGGCAAAGACUAGAACUGACAAUUAUUUGCAACAGAAAAAAAAGAACAACAAAACGGGGGUCAGAGGACGUGUUAUUUAUUGUGCCCAUCUGACAGCCCAAAUGCAAUGAGAUGAGGCAGAAGUGCCCAGGCACUGUUUACAAGAAGAAUCAUCUCUUGAAAUAGAUUUUCAUUUCCCUUUGCUCUGUCAUAAUUAGGGAUGUCAAAUUUCUUCAGGGGGGAAAAAAAAAAAGAAAAGAAGGCACGGAAGAAGUUUUUGCUUCCUCCUCUUUCUCAGAAAAUGAAAACAUGAGUAAGAAUUGAAAUAUUUGCCUGCAAAAAAAUAUUUGUUUGCUCGGCCUAAAAUUUAUUUACGUUUUUGAAAGUGUAGAGUGCACUGAAUAUAAUCUGGUUAGUUCAAAGAAAGUCUAUUCGGAUCUGUUAAACAAAUAUGAGUUCUUUACCUUUGAAUGAUAAUAAAUCUGUUAUCCAAUGUACUUAACACAAGAUGCCCUUAAACGGGAAAAAAUUAAGAAAUGCUGCAUGUGGAAAGCAACAGUGUAGCUGAGCAGUGCAGGGAAAAGGUGGUACAUACAAGUUUUCCAUAGAUUUUGGAUACCGAGGCAUAUUGUGUUUCAGAAAACAAUCUUGGAAAAGGAAUUUAAUAUAACAACACGUUUAUUACAAUGGGCUUAACACUGCACAUGGUAUAAAGGAACCACAAUAAAUAUGGUUCCCAAAACCCCCCGACCCAGAGCAGCAAUUAUUUAAAACUAAGCUGACUUUUUUAUACAGCUAAGGAGCUGGUUAUUUUGGGUCGAUGGCUGGUUUGUUUUUCUCCUGAUUUCUGCCCUUAGAUACAGAUGUUUCCCCCAUGCUCAGGUCCUGAGGACUCCCUACAGCUGGCUGACAAAACAGGAUAAAACAUGGGUCUGGGCCAUGUUGUAACAAGAUGUUUCUUCUCUCCUUUUUUUUUCG